ACAUACGACCAUAGGAUCAUGAAAACAGAGCUUCCCGUCCGCUCAGCUGUACUUAAGCAUGAUACCGGCGGAUUAGUAGUUAGGUGGGUGACCACUAGCGAAUACCUGCUGUUGUAUGUUU
rnacentral:rRNA from 1 species